UACGUAGGGAGCAAGCGUUGUCCGGAAUCAUUGGGCGUAAAGCGCGCGUAGGCGGCCCUGUAAGUCCGCUGUGAAAGUCAAAGGCUCAACCUUUGAAAGCCGGUGGAUACUGCAGGGCUAGAGUCCGGAAGAGGCGAGUGGAACUCCUGGUGUAGCGGUGGAAUGCGCAGAUAUCAGGAAGAACACCAACGGCGAAGGCAGCUCGCUGGGACGGUACUGACGCUGAGGCGCGAAAGCGUGGGGAGCGAACAGG
rnacentral:rRNA from 1 species